rfam:Candidatus Bathyarchaeota archaeon B26-1 scaffold1813, whole genome shotgun sequence.
GCCGCCGUAACGUAGUCUGGCAGCGUACAGGCCUGUGGAGCCUGGAGGCCGGGUUCAAAUCCCGGCGGCGGCC